rnacentral:rRNA from 1 species
UACGUAGGUGGCUAGCGUUAUCCGGAUUUAUUGGGCGUAAAGAGGGCGCGGGCGGCUCUUUAAGUCGAGUGUGAAAUCUCCUGGCUUAACUGGGAGGAGUCAUUCGAUACUGGAGGGCUUGAGGGCAGCAGAGGGAGACGGAAUUCCCGGUGUAGUGGUGAAAUGCGUAGAUAUCGGGAGGAACACCAGUGGCGAAAGCGGUCUUCUGGGCUGUUCCUGACGCUGAGGCCCGAAAGCAUGGGGAG